rnacentral:rRNA from 1 species
CCCAGACUCCUACGGGAGGCAGCAGUGGGGAAUAUUGCACAAUGGGGGAAACCCUGAUGCAGCGACGCCGCGUGAGUGAAGAAGUAUUUCGGUAUGUAAAGCUCUAUCAGCAGGGAAGAAGUUGACGGUACCUGAGUAAGAAGCCCCGGCUAACUACGUGCCAGCAGCCGCGGUAAUACGUAGGUGGCAAGCGUUAUCCGGAUUUACUGGGUGUAAAGGGCGUGUAGGUGGGAAAGCAAGUCAGAUGUGAAAACCAUGGGCUCAACCUGUGGCCUGCAUUUGAAACUGUUUUUCUUGAGUACUGGAGAGGCAGACGGAAUUCCUAGUGUAGCGGUGAAAUGCGUAGAUAUUAGGAGGAACACCGGUGGCGAAGGCGGCCUGCUGGACUGUGACUGACGUUGAGGCCCGAAGGCGUGGGGAGCAAACAGGAUUAGAUCCCCGCGUA